GACGAACGCUGGCGGCGUGCUUAACACAUGCAAGUCGAACGGAAAGGCCUCUUUCGGGGGGUACUCGAGUGGCGAACGGGUGAGUAACACGUGAGUAACCUGCCCUUGACUUUGGGAUAACUUCAGGAAACUGGGGCUAAUACCGGAUAGGAGCUCCUGCUGCAUGGUGGGGGUUGGAAAGUUUCGGCGGUUGGGGAUGGACUCGCGGCUUAUCAGCUUGUUGGUGGGGUAGUGGCUUACCAAGGCGUUGACGGGUAGCCGGCCUGAGAGGGUGACCGGCCACAUUGGGACUGAGAUACGGCCCAGACUCCUACGGGAGGCAGCAGUGGGGAAUAUUGCACAAUGGGUGGAAGCCUGAUGCAGCAACGCCGUGGGCGGGAGGACGGCCUUCGGGUUGUAAACCGCUUUCGCUCAUGACGAAGCUUUGUGUGACGGUAGUGGGUAAAGAAGCACCGGCUAACUACGUG
rnacentral:rRNA from 1 species